CCUACGGGUGGCAGCAGUGAGGAAUAUUGGUCAAUGGCCGGAAGGCUGAACCAGCCAAGCCGCGUGAGGGAGGAAGGCGCAGAGCGUCGCAGACCUCUUUUGCCGGGGGACAAAAGGCCGGACUCGUCCGGUCCUGAGGGUACCCGGAGAAAAAGCAUCGGCUAACUCCGUGCCAGCAGCCGCGGUAAUACGUGGGUGGCAAGCGUUAUCCGGAUUUAUUGGGGGUAAAGGGCGUGUAUGCGGGAGCGCAAGUCAAAUGUGAAAACGCAGGGCUCAACCCUGAGCCUGCAUUUGAAACUGUGUUUCUUGAGUGCUGGAGAGGCAAUCGGAAUUCCGAGUGUAGCGGUGAAAUGCGUAGAUAUAAGGAGGAACACCAGUGGCGAAGGCGGAUUGCUGGACAGUAACUGACGCUGAGGCGCGAAAGCGUGGGGAGCAAACAGGAUUAGAUACCCGAGUAGUC
rnacentral:rRNA from 1 species